CUUUAAAUUUAAUCUUCCAUUAGCAUCAGUUGACUGCUUUGUUUUGGUUUUGUAUCAGAGCACCGACACUAGUUCAACAGUGAAAAGGAUUUUUUAAACGCUGCUGGAGAUCAGCAAGGAAUUUGUCCUAACUUUGAGUUGGCAUUCAUGUCAGGUGUGCUUCGGUUACAGGGGCCAACAAAGGCAUUGGGCUGGAGAUCUGUCGUCAGUUAGCAUCUGCUGGAUUUGUGGUCAUAUUAACUGCUAGAUUCUAGAGAUGAGAAGAGAGGCGUAGAAGCUGUGGAAAAUCUCAAAGUUUCUGGGUUGUCUCAUGUGGAUUUUCAUCGACUUGAUGUGAAAGAACAGGCCAGCAUAGCUUCAUAUGCAAAAUUUAUUGAAGCCCAUUUCGGAAAACUUGAUAUACUUGUAAACAACGCAGGAGAUGGUGGACUAGUCAUAAACUGUGAAGCCUACAGGGCCUUUGUACUUGCUGGCAAUGUAAAGGAUAUUCUCAAGCAGACUUAUGAGGAGGCAGAAGAAUGGGUGAAAACGAAUUACUAUGGAACCAAAGGAGUAACUGAAGCAUUUCUUCCCCUUCUGCAACUCUCCCAAUCAGCAAGAAUAGCGAAUAUCUCCUCCUUCCAUGGACAGCUAAAGGUAAUAAAACACAAUAAGGUAUUCAUCCUUGAUUUGCAAUACAUAAAAGUACUGGAAACAUGUAACCUAUCAUAGUUUCAUCUUGCUAUCCCAGUUUAUCAAAAAUGAGAGGGCUAAAGCAGUGCUAGAGAAUGUUAAUGAUCUAAUAGAUGAGAAAAUAGACGAGGUUUUGCGAUGAUUUUUAAGGGAUUUCAAUGAGCAAAAGUUGGAGGCCAAUGGUUGGCCGAAAACUGUAUCAGCCUAUAAGGUAUCCAAAGCUGCUGUAAAUGCCUAUACAAAACUCAUUGCAAAAAGGAUCCCUCAACACCAUAUAAAUUCUAUCCAUCCAGGAAGGGUCAAAACAGAGAUGACAUGUGACAUUGUAAAAUUGAGUCCUCGUGAAGGUGCAAGAGGUCCUGUGCUGUUUUCUUCGCUGCCUGAAACUGGUCCUACAGGCUUAUUCUCUGACGAGAUUGAGGUAUCUAGCUUUUGAUGUAAGACAACCCAGAAGUAUCAAUCUUGGAUUGAUUACAUAACCUUGUUAUCCUUUGAAAGAAGCUGUAACUUUGGAAUAACAUUAAUGACUCAAUUUAAAAAUAAAAAAUGGGUCUUUUGAGUUAAA